rnacentral:rRNA from 1 species
AUUGAACGCUGGCGGCAGGCCUAACACAUGCAAGUCGAGCGGAUGAAGAGAGCUUGCUCUCUGAUUCAGCGGCGGACGGGUGAGUAAUGCCUAGGAAUCUGCCUGGUAGUGGGGGACAACGUUUCGAAAGGAACGCUAAUACCGCAUCCGUCCUACGGGAGAAAGUGGGGGAUCUUCGGACCUCACGCUAUCAGAUGAGCCUAGGUACGAUUAGCUAGUUGGUGAGGUAAAGGCUCACCAAGGCGACGAUCGUUAACUGGUCUGAGAGGAUGAUCAGUAACACUGGAACUGAGACACGGUCCAGACUCCUACGGGAGGCAGCAGUGGGGAAUAUUGGACAAUGGGCGAAAGCCUGAUCCAGCCAUGCCGCGUGUGUGAAGAAGGUCUUCGGAUUGUAAAGCACUUUAAGUUGGGAGGAAGGGCAGUAAGUUAAUACCUUGCUGUUUUGACGUUACCGACAGAAUAAGCACCGGCUAACUUCGUGCCAGCCGCCGCGGUAAGAC